AGUGAACGCUGGCGGUAGGCCUAACACAUGCCAGUCGAACGGCAGCACAGUAAGAGCUUGCUCUUACGGGUGGCGAGUGGCGGACGGGUGAGGAAUACAUUGGAAUCUACUUUUUCGUGGGGGAUAACGUAGGGAAACUUACGCUAAUACCGCAUACGACCUACGGGUGAAAGCAGGGGAUCUUCGGACCUUGCGCGAUUGAAUGAGCCGAUGUCGGAUUAGCUAGUUGGCGGGGUAAAGGCCCACCAAGGCGACGAUCCGUAGCUGGUCUGAGAGGAUGAUGAGCCACACUGGAACUGAGACACGGUCCAGACUCCUACGGGAGGCAGCAGUGGGGAGUAGUGGACGAUGGGCUCAAGCUUGAUCCAGCCAUACCGCGUGGGUGAAGAAGGCCUUCUGGUUGUAAAGCCCUUUUGUUGGGAAAGAAAAGCAGCAGGUUGACAACCCGCUGUUCUGACGGUACCCAAAGAAUAAGCACCGGCUAACUUCGUG
rnacentral:rRNA from 1 species